rnacentral:rRNA from 1 species
CGAGCGGAAUGAUGAAGAAGCUUGCUUCUUCUGAUUUUAGCGGCGGACGGGUGAGUAACACGUGGGCAACCUACCUUGUAGAUUGGGAUAACUCCGGGAAACCGGGGCUAAUACCGAAUAAUCCAUUUUGCUUCAUGGCAAGAUGUUGAAAGGCGGCUUCGGCUGUCACUACGAGAUGGGCCCGCGGCGUAUUAGCUAGUUGGUAGGGUAACGGCCUACCAAGGCGACGAUACGUAGCCGACCUGAGAGGGUGAUCGGCCACACUGGGACUGAGACACGGCCCAGACUCCUACGGGAGGCAGCAGUAGGGAAUCUUCCACAAUGGACGAAAGUCUGAUGGAGCAACGCCGCGUGAGUGAAGAAGGUUUUCGGAUCGUAAAACUCUGUUGUAAGGGAAGAACACGUACGAGAGUAACUGCUCGUACCUUGACGGUACCUUAUUAGAAAGCCACGGCUAACUACGUGCCAGCAGCCGCGGUAAUACGUAGGUGGCAAGCGUUGUCCGGAAUUAUUGGGCGUAAAGCGCGCGCAGGCGGUUCUUUAAGUCUGAUGUGAAAGCCCACGGCUCAACCGUGGAGGGUCAUUGGAAACUGGAGAACUUGAGUACAGAAGAGGAAAGCGGAAUUCCACGUGUAGCGGUGAAAUGCGUAGAGAUGUGGAGGAACACCAGUGGCGAAGGCGGCUUUCUGGUCUGUAACUGACGCUGAGGCGCGAAAGCGUGGGGAGCAAACAGGAUUARAUACCCUGGUARUCCACGCCGUAAACGAUGAGUGCUAAGUGUUAGGGGGUUUCCGCCCCUUAGUGCUGCAGCUAACGCAUUAAGCACUCCGCCUGGGGGAGUACGAGCGCAAGGUUGAAACUCAAAGGAAUUGACGGGGGCCACGCACAAUCGGUGGAGCAUGGUGGUUUAAUUCGAAGCAACGCGAAGAACCUUACCAGGUCUUGACAUCCCACUGACCG